AACACAUGCAAGUCGAGGGGCAGCAUGCUUUUAGCUUGCUAAGGCCGAUGGCGACCGGCGCACGGGUGAGUAACACGUAUCCAACCUGCCGUCUACUCUUGGACAGCCUUCUGAAAGGAAGAUUAAUACAAGAUGGCAUCAUGAGUCCGCAUGUUCACAUGAUUAAAGGUAUUCCGGUAGACGAUGGGGAUGCGUUCCAUUAGAUAGUAGGCGGGGUAACGGCCCACCUAGUCUUCGAUGGAUAGGGGUUCUGAGAGGAAGGUCCCCCACAUUGGAACUGAGACACGGUCCAAACUCCUACGGGAGGCAGCAGUGAGGAAUAUUGGUCAAUGGGCGCAGGCCUGAACCAGCCAAGUAGCGUGAAGGAUGACUGCCCUAUGGGUUGUAAACUUCUUUUAUAAAGGAAUAAAGUCGGGUAUGGAUACCCGUUUGCAUGUACUUUAUGAAUAAGGAUCGGCUAACUCCGUGCCAGCAGCCGCGGUAAUACGGAGGAUCCGAGCGUUAUCCGGAUUUAUUGGGUCUAAAGGGAGCGUAGAUGGAUGUUUAAGUCAGUUGUGAAAGUUUGCGGCUCAACCGUAAAAUUGCAGUUGAUACUGGAUAUCUUGAGUGCAGUUGAGGCAGGCGGAAUUCGUGGUGUAGCGGUGAAAUGCUUAGAUAUCACGAAGAACUCCGAUUGCGAAGGCAGCCUGCUAAGCUGCAACUGACAUUGAGGCUCGAAAGUGUGGGUAUCAAACAGGAUUAGAUACCCUGGUAGUCCACACGGUAAACGAUGAAUACUCGCUGUUUGCGAUAUACGGCAAGCGGCCAAGCGAAAGCGUUAAGUAUUCCACCUGGGGAGUACGCCGGCAACGGUGAAACUCAAAGGAAUUGACGGGGGCCCGCACAAGCGGAGGAACAUGUGGUUUAAUUCGAUGAUACGCGAGGAACCUUACCCGGGCUUAAAUUGCAGAUGAAUUACGGUGAAAGCCGUAAGCCGCAAGGCAUCUGUGAAGGUGCUGCAUGGUUGUCGUCAGCUCGUGCCGUGAGGUGUCGGCUUAAGUGCCAUAACGAGCGCAACCCUUGUUGUCAGUUACUAACAGGUUCCGCUGAGGACUCUGACAAGACUGCCAUCGUAAGAUGUGAGGAAGGUGGGGAUGACGUCAAAUCAGCACGGCCCUUACGUCCGGGGCUACACACGUGUUACAAUGGGGGGUACAGAGGGCCGCUACCACGCGAGUGGAUGCCAAUCCCAAAAACCUCUCUCAGUUCGGACUGGAGUCUGCAACCCGACUCCACGAAGCUGGAUUCGCUAGUAAUCGCGCAUCAGCCACGGCGCGGUGAAUACGUUCUCGGGCCUUGUACACACCGCCCGUCAAGCCAUGGGAGCCGGGGGUACCUGAAGUGCGUAACAGAGAGGAGCGCCCUAGGGUAAAACUGGUGACUGGGGC
rnacentral:rRNA from 1 species